AGAGUUUGAUCCUGGCUCAGAACGAACGCUGGCGGCGUGCUUAACACAUGCAAGUCGAACGAGAAAUCUUUUUUUCGGAAAAGAGAGUAAAGUGGCGCACGGGUGAGUAACGCGUAGAUAAUCUACCUUCAGGUUGGGAAUAACAUUGCGAAAGCGAUGCUAAUACUCAAUAAGCUCUUAAUAGCGGAAGUUACUAAGAGGAAAGAUGGCCUCUGACAUAAGCAAUCGCCUGGAGAUGAGUCUGCGUAUCAUUAGCUAGUAGGUGAGGUAAGGGCUUACCUAGGCAACGAUGGUUAGCGGGUCUGAGAGGAUGAUCCGCCACACUGGAACUGAAACACGGACCAGACUCCUAUGGGAGGCAGCAGUGAGGAAUUUUGCGCAAUGGGGGAAACCCUGACGCAGCGACGCCGCGUGAGUGAAGAAGGCCUUCGGGUUGUAAAGCUCUGUCAGAUGGGAAUAAAUUCAUCAUGGUUAAUAGCUAUGGUGUUUGAAGGUACCAUCAAAGGAAGCACCGGCUAACUCCGUGCCAGCAGCCGCGGUAAUACGGAGGGUGCAAGCGUUGUUCGGAAUCACUGGGCGUAAAGGGCACGCAGGCGGUUGAUCAAGUCAGAUGUGAAAUCCUAGGGCUCAACCUUGGAGGUGCAUCUGAAACUGGUUGACUUGAGUAUGGGAGAGGAAAGUGGAAUUCCCGGUGUAGAGAUGAAAUUCGUAGAUAUCGGGAGGAAUACCUGAGGCGAAGGCGACUUUCUGGACCAAUACUGACGCUGAGGUGCGAAAGCGUGGGUAGCGAACAGGAUUAGAUACCCUGGUAGUCCACAGCCGUAAACGAUGUGCACUAGAUGUUGGAGGAGUUGACCCCUUCAGUGUCGCAGCUAACGCGAUAAGUGCACCGCCUGGGGAGUACGGCCGCAAGGUUAAAACUCAGAGGAAUUGACGGGGGCCCGCACAAGCGGUGGAGUAUGUGGUUUAAUUCGAUGCAACGCGAAGAACCUUACCUGGUUUUGACAUCCCGGGAAUUUUCUGGAAACAGAAAAGUGCUUCUUUAUAGAAGAGCCUGGAGACAGGUGCUGCAUGGCUGUCGUCAGCUCGUGUCGUGAGAUGUUGGGUUAAGUCCCGUAACGAGCGCAACCCACGCCUUUAGUUGCCAUCAUUCAGUUGGGCACUCUAGAGGGACAGCCCCGGUUAGCGGGGAGGAAGGUGUGGAUGACGUCAAGUCCUCAUGGCCCUUAUGGCCAGGGCUACACACGUACUACAAUGGACGGUACAAAGGGCAGCUACACCGCGAGGUGGAGCUAAUCCUCCAAAACCGUUCUCAGUCCGGAUCGGAGUCUGCAACCCGACUCCGUGAAGUUGGAAUCGCUAGUAAUCGUGGAUCAGCAAGCCACGGUGAAUACGUUCCCGGGCCUUGUACACACCGCCCGUCACACCACGAAAGUCGGCUGUACCAGAAGACGUUGAGCUAACCCGGCACUCAGUUUUGCCUUCCACCUCUUAUUGAAGUGUUGGAAAACAGAACUGAGUGCCGGGAGGUAGGCGUCCAAGGUAUGACUGGUAAUUGGGGUGAAGUCGUAACAAGGUAGCCG
rnacentral:rRNA from 2 species